UCCCGGCUGACGCAAUUGGUUAGCGUGUCAGACUUUUAUAAAAUAGUGAAAUCUGAAAGUUCAGGGUUCGAGUCCCUGGUCGGGAG